CCUGUAGUACGGGAGGCAGCAGUGGGGAAUUUUGGACAAUGGGCGCAAGCCUGAUCCAGCCAUGCCGCGUGUCUGAAGAAGGCCUUCGGGUUGUAAAGGACUUUUGUCAGGGAAGAAAAGGACAGGGUUAAUACCCCUGUUUGAUGACGGUACCUGAAGAAUAAGCACCGGCUAACUACGUGCCAGCAGCCGCGGUAAUACGUAGGGUGCGAGCGUUAAUCGGAAUUACUGGGCGUAAAGCGAGCGCAGACGGUUACUUAAGCAGGAUGUGAAAUCCCCGGGCUCAACCUGGGAACUGCGGUCUGAAGUGUGUGACUAGAGUGUGUCAGAGGGAGGUAGAAUUCCACGUGUAGCAGUGAAAAGCGUAGAGAUGUGGAGGAAUACCGAUGGCGAAGGCAGCCUCCUGGGAUAACACUGACGUUCAUGCUCGAAAGCGUGGGUAGCAAACAGGAUUAGAAACCCUUGUAGUCCAGAGAA
rnacentral:rRNA from 1 species